rnacentral:ncRNA from 2 species
UUUAAAAUGCGCGUAACGAGUAUACUUUCUGAUGGAAGUAUUAAAAAGGGAAGUCAGUAAAUCUGACGCGGUCCCGCCACUGUGAUAGUGAGCGGCCUUAUAUAAUGUCACUGGGUAACCGGGAAGACAUAAGGCGGCGAUGAACUUAAGCCAGGAGACCUUGUUCGUUACAGAUCAACACA